AAGUGUGAUCAUACUAGCAGUAAUGCAUCGGGUCCCAUCAGAACUCCGCAGUUAAGCCCGCCUAGGCAAGAGUAGUACUAGGAUGGGUGACCUCCUGGGAAGUCCUUAUGUUGCACCUC